rnacentral:misc_RNA from 1 species
GAUGAAGAACGUAGCGAAAUGCGAUACGUAAUGUGAAUUGCAGGAUUCAGUGAAUCAUCGAGUCUUUGAACGCACAUUGCGCCCCCUGGUAUUCCGGGGGGCAUGCCUGUCCGAGCGUCAUUGCUGCCCUCAAGCACGGCUUGUGUGUUGGGCCUCCGUCCUCCUCCCGGGGGACGGGCCCGAAAGGCAGCGGCGGCACCGCGUCCGGUCCUCGAGCGUAUGGGGCUUCGUCACCCGCUCUUGUAGGCCCGGCCGGCGCUUGCCGACACAUCAAUCUUUUUUCCAGGUUGACCUCGGAUCAGGUAGGGAUACCCGCUGAACUUAAGCAUAUCAAUAAGCGGAGGA